AGGUCCUCCAGGGUGAGAUUAUUGAUGGUGAUGCCUUUAGUCUCAGCAAGGUGGACGGCCUUCCCAGAAGCAGUUUGGGCUUGUCUGAUUGGCAUCUGCAAUGAGAAGCAAAGAGCACAAUCAAGUAACCAGAUCCUUGCUGAAGGUGCUUGGAAUUCCUUUGAGAACCAUGAGAAUAGCAGCCAACUGCAGAGAGAAACAGGCUCACCCGUCCAAACACACGACCAGCUUUGCUGCGGAUCAGUUCCAGGCUAUCAGGGUUCUUCUUCUGAGGCAACAGGCUGCUGCCAGUGCUGGAAGAAAGGAAUUGGGAGUGUAACGGUGAGCAAGACCCCAGCCUGUGCAGAUGAAGGCUAAGACAUGCAGCACGCUGGCCCAGCCCUGCAAAAGUGAUUUGUAGCCCCCCUUGACUGGACACCUGUCUCAGUGUAGGAAAGCAGUGAGGGUGAUGGAAGUCAUGUCCAGUUCUGUAAGGAAAGUGACAGAGAGAAGAGGUCAGGUUUAUCAUGACCAGGGCUUGAAGUCAGCAGACUGCUCCAGCCUACAGGUGACUGAGUCCUGGAGUAGUCCCAGCUGCACACACGAGCUGAAGUGUUAUGCUGCAUGGGAGCUAC
rnacentral:lncRNA from 1 species